rnacentral:rRNA from 1 species
UACAGAGGUUGCAAGCGUUAAUCGGAAUUACUGGGCGUAAAGCGUGCGCAGGCGGUUUUUUAAGCCAGAUGUGAAAUCCCCGGGCUUAACCUGGGAACUGCAUUUGGAACUGGAAGACUAGAGUACGGCGGAGGGGGGUAGAAUUCCACGUGUAGCAGUGAAAUGCGUAGAUAUGUGGAGGAAUACCGAUGGCGAAGGCAGCCCCCUGGGUCGAUACUGACGCUCAUGCACGAAAGCGUGGGGAGCAAACAGG